rnacentral:rRNA from 1 species
UAAGGAAUAUUGGUCAAUGGAGGCAACUCUGAACCAGCCAUGCCGCGUGCAGGAAGAAGGCCCUAUGGGUCGUAAACUGCUUUUGAACAAGAGAAAACCCCGGUACGUGUACUGGGUUGAUGGUAUUGUUAGAAUAAGCAUCGGCUAACUUCGUGCCAGCAGCCGCGGUAAGACGAAGGAUGCAAGCGUUAUCCGGAUUCAUUGGGUUUAAAGGGUGCGUAGGCGGACUGAUAAGUCAGUGGUGAAAUCUCUCGGCUUAACCGAGAAACUGCCAUUGAUACUGUUAGUCUAGAGUACAGAUGAUGUGGGCGGAAUAUGACAUGUAGUGGUGAAAUACUUAGAUAUGUCAUAGAACACCGAUUGCGAAGGCAGCUCACAAAACUGUAACUGACGCUGAGGCACGAAAGUGCGGGGAUCAAACAGGAUUAGAUACCCCCGUAGUCCCUGAGCGGGCUGGCAAGGCGCAU